CAACCAACAACCGGUAACCAGCCAGCCCAAGGUCCACUCACCAUCAACUUGAGCACCCAGCAGGUUCAGAUCUUGCGAUCUUUCCUUCCGUUUCUUUUGAAUGGAGGAGAACUACCAGCAGGCAAAUAAACUGACAGCUCACAUGAAGGAAUUCUUGGAUUCUGGACCACAACGACAUGAGCCUUCACGUUGAUGACGUCAAAGUUUUAUUCCAAGACACGAUUUGAG